rnacentral:lncRNA from 1 species
AGAAGGCUGGCGCAGCAGGAAGAGGUAGGGACAGUCACUGAGUUUUAGCAUGAAGACAGUCAGGUGAAAGUUCUUGCAACGCUUUGCUGUCCACUGGGGACAUGAGCUUCAGAGCAAACUGUCCUGUUCCACUGGCUUUUGAAAUUAUUGUGUGCCUGGCACGACGGAGGCUGCUCGUAGAUGUCUGCAGAGCAAGUGAGACUUCAGGACUGGGGCCAUCUUGAAUGCUACAUCUUAUAAGCUGACCCAGAGAAAGGAGAAUUAAACUUCCGCCCCCUGCCCUGCUCAAGGGCAUGGGUUGCCAGCCUUUCAGUUCACACACAUAAUCACUCACCGCUGCUUUCAUCUCUCAUUGGAUCCUCUGCUGUUCAAAAAGUUGCUAUGAGAAGACUCAGCCAAGUAUCCUUCCAGUUCCUUAUGUGCCGUGUGGGAGAACGUCUAGAGCCAGCUUCACUGAAGGGGCGGAGGCUACUGCCUGAUUCAGAAGAGGGAAAAUAGAUGGGAUACACCAGUACAGUGUCGAUCCCUGUGACCCAGGAGCUGUGAUUUGGGGAGAGUUUGCUCCUACCAAUAGAUCACAGCAUGAGAAGACAUUGCAGGGCCUGGAGGCCACAGUAAGAUAUGUUCUAAGACUUUGGAAACACAGUUUGCUGUAAGAGUUGAACCACUACAAUCCAUACAGAAUGGAUGUGAUUAGUCAUCUGUGGAAGUAAACAGGAAACCAUCCCUAAAUGUGUGAGUCAAGGGCUUGAGAAUACCUAAGGCACCAAUCAAGAUGAACUAGGAGAAAGCUCAGGGAAGAGAGUAGGAAAACAGUAAGCAGAACCCAGCCAGUGGGAUGGAUCCUGUCUGAACACUGCCUCUGAACAGAAUGCAUCUCUCUGGGGUGUAGGGUGGGUAAGGGAAAGCAGUCAGCUAUAGGAAUAAAGAAAAAGGGGCUUUGCAGAGGCCCAGGUACUAUCCUGGACAGAGGUUUUCCUGGCCCCUGACUUGGUGAGAGUGUAAAGCUUCUUAACAGAGAGACAUUUCUGAAGCUCAGCUCACUCCCUCCAUUCUGAAGGACUGUGCUGAUCAGGCCAAGGUGAAUGACCAGUACACUGAUCAGUUGUAUUUCUCAGGGUUAAUUAGUAAAUUGGCAUGGGGUAUGUGUGUGUGUAUGUGUGUGUGUGAUCUGGAUGCACACAGGUUUGGAGUUGGUGUGUCCGCUCCUGCUGGUGGUGAAUGCUACUCUAAUGAUGUCAGGAGGGUCAGGAUUCGCAGCCUGAAAGGCCAGUGAUGAGUCUCUGAGGCCAAGGCCAUCAGUGGACCUUCUUUGCAUCCUCGUGUGUCAUAGGCUGAGCUGUCCAUUUUCAGGAGCUACAGAAGACACUCUUCAAAGACAAAGACAUCCCUUUGCUUCCUGGCAAGACCAUAUUUUUAUCCAAUUUUCUCAAACUUUUUUGACUAUGGCAAAAGGCCCCACGGCUCACUUACCCCAUCUUCUACCAUAUGAAGAUCCUCCCCCUAAAGACAUACUUUAAUCCUUUCCAGGCUCACAAGGCACAUCCUCACAGCCCGCUGUGAGCCUUCGACCAACUUUUGAGGAUCACUGUCCCAGCUGAAGGCCAACUUCUAUUGGAGUCUUACAGCAGAAGGAUGCCAUCCCUUUCUUGGCAGUCUGUUCAACUCUGCCAAUAUACAUACUGUGCCCACCAUGGGCUGGUUGUGAAAACACCUCCAAUCCCUUCUGAGGAAAGAUGUCACUGAAGCAGUAAGUCCCUUUGGAGACGGAGGGAUCAACUUUCAGGGGCUGACAGGCCUGCAGAGGCUGUGUUUUCACCUUGAAAGAGAGUAGAGUGGGAAGGUGAGACCCGUGAUGAUGGAGGGGCCCGGAGGUUUUUGGAUAAUUUACACUCACAGCACUGAGAGUGGGAGGAGACCUGUUAGGAAGCAAGAGGGCCACCAGAAGGUCCUUCUCUACAAAGAGCUUCCAAAUAGUUUCACAACUGCCACAGCUUCCUUUGCUUUGGUCAAAAGCCUGGCCAAGAGCUUUUGCCCCUUCUGUGAUGGUGGAGGAGAGAGGACUGAAGGGGCCACACUCAACUCAGGAGCAGAUGCUCCAUGAGGAGUCGGAGACGAGUGUUGUGUGAAGGUUCCCAAAGUUCUCUCUUCUGGGGAUGAAGCCUGAAAUGAUCCAAUGUCAGGAAGUCCCUCCUGGACCUUGGACUGGGAAGUGUUAAUGAAGGGAGGAGAAGUGGGUUUGGUCCCAAGUAAGGGGUGCUGCUCAGUGGAAACAUCAAAGGCUAGAGCUCAGAUCAAGAGCAUCUUGCUGGCAUGAGAAGGGCUACCUAAUCCAUAAGUAAGAACAAACAUUAGUUAAGGAGAGGAGCACAGGAAAGGAACACAGCUGAACCCCAGAGAAAGAAACAUCUCCAUGUGUUUUCCUACAGUUAGUGUGGCCGCAGAUAUCAUAUUUUAAAAGAAGAAACCAUGUCUGUCAUCUACUGGUCAUCACAACUCAACAAUAACUUUUAACCCCACAUCUCUUACUCAUUCCUUGUAGAGAAAUAGCUGAACACAAGAUUGACCGAACACAACUGAACUGCAUCCUUUGCUUCCGGGAUUCUUCUUUUCUUUUCUUUUUUUCCAACUGCUGCCAAUCUUCUUUUUUUUCUUUCUGAUUUUUCUCCCCAAAUCCCCCCAGUACACAGUUGUAUAUUCUAGUUGUGGGUCCCUCUAGUUGUGGCAUGUGGGACGCUGCCUCAGCAUGGCCUGACGAGCGGUGCCCUGUCUGUGCCCAGGAUCCAAACCGGCGAAACCCUGGGCCGCCAAAGCGGAGCGCGCGAACUCAACCACUCGGCCACGGGGCCGGCACUUUCUUUUCAUUUUUAUAUUAGACUUUUCAGCCAAACCAAUUUGCCCUGAAGUUAUUAGUAAAUAUCUGAGUUGAAGACUUCCCAAAGAGCUGCACAGCCCCAGCUCCUUUUUAAAGACAAUGCCCACUAGUUUAAAGGCUAUUAAUAUAUACUCAUGUGUGCAAACUCACUCAGACUUGCCUUCAGAAAGACGUAAUUUAUGGUAGUACAGGGCAGCAGAAGGUCACAUGAAGAAAAACAUGUGCAUACAAAACAAAACAAAAACAAGGAAUUAUUUAAUGUUGUGAGUCAUCCUAAUAAUAUAAUCUCCCAGAUACUUUCGGCAUCUGACAAAGGCAUACAGUGUGGCAUUUACAUUAGCAUAGAGAGGGGUAGCAUCAUGCCCCUAUUCCCGGGAAAGUUAUGGCUGUUGUGUUGCCUUCUAACUGCCCGUGCUUCUGGCACUUACCUAUGGAAGGGUGUUGACAGUCUGCUCAUUCUCACCACCAUCCAUUCAGGGACAAUGAUCCUGCCUGCUGAUGGGGCUGGCCCAGGUGACUACAGCAGCAUCUUACGGAUAUAAUAAGCAACCAUAAGAACACAGCCUCAGUUUUCCCACUUAUAAAAUAGGACUAUGCAUAAUCCCAACUUACUUCACUAGAAGGAUGUCAGAAUAUUUAAAAAGAAAAAAAAAAAAAGAAAAAAGAAAAAGCCUAGCUAGACAUUCUACGGAAAGGCAUGGUGCAAGUAUGGCAACUGCUAUAAUGUGUCAAGAAACUGAAAUAACUCCAGGACCCUUAAAGUUUUUAUGCAGAAGUCCAUGCAAGAGUUUCAUUUGCAACCUCAACAAAGGGCUCCUUGUUUAUUUUAUUUUUUUUAAAAGAUUGGCACCAGAGCUAACAUCUGUUACCAAUCUUCUUCUUUCUUUUUUCUUCUUUUUCUCCCCAAAGCCCCCCAGUACAUAGUUGUGUAUUCUAGUCAUGAGUCCUUCUAGUUGUGGCAUGUGGGAUGCUGCUUCAGCAUGGCCUGAUGAGCGGUGCCAAGUCUGCGCCCAGGAUCUGAACGAGCAAAACCCUGGGCCACAAAGUGGAGCCCACAAACUUAACCACUCAGCCAUGGGGCCAGCCCCUCCUUGUUUAUUAAGUGUAAAAAGGAUCUUAAUUUUUUAAAAAUUAAACUAUAAGCAUUCCUAGAGCCUGGUCUAAAAGGUAGUGUUAAAAUGAGGCUCCUCUUCAAUUAUAUCGGCUAUCACCUAAUUCCUCAGGUGCUUUGUCUUGGCCUCUUUGUCUUCCCUUUCCUUCUGGAAACCUGUAAUCCCACUGUGUGUGUGUGUGUGUGUGUGCACUCAGGUCUCGGAAAGAACACAGAAUCUGUGCCUGAAUUGCCAAGUAAGGCUGUGAUUUCCUUUGUUCCUACUGCUGGAGGCUCCUUGGCUGAUUAAGUCCGAGGCUUCUCCCAGGUUUUGUUGGCCCAUGAAUGGAGCCUCUUCAGUGCUCACUGGAGUGCAAUAUCAUUGAUACUUCCUCCGCCUGCCUCCCUUCCUCUCCCAGCCCAGCUGAGCUGACGGGUUCAUCCUGCUGUGUACUUGGAAGGCUCGCUUCCAAUGCAAGCUGGGGUAGAAAAAGAGGGCUAGGGUUGGAAAGGACCAUGGAGACCUUCCUUCUAGAGUCUAAACUGUUCAUUUUGCUUAUUUGGGCUUAACCGAGGACCAGGGCAGAGGAGUUAGGGGCCUGCCCCAAGUCUCAGAGCAGCGGGUCACGGGGAGCCUUGACUUCCAAGGCUUUCUACUCUUCCCACCACAGGCACUUCUCAGAGGCAAGCCUGCAAGAGCUCUGCUGCUCUUGCUAUAGAAUAGUACACUGUACCUAGACACAGAAAGAUAUACUGUAUCUAGACAGAACAGUACACUGUAUCUAGACACAAAACACUAACAUAGUAUCUAGACGUAGAACACCACCACCAUAUCUAGACACAUCUUUCAUAUUCUUACAGCCAAGUGAAGGACUGAUGACUAAAAUCAUGGAUCUUUGUUGAGAGAAAUGAAGGAGGUCUAGAGAAUUUCUAACGAGCCAGAAAGCUGCCUUGUGCUAGUGAUGUAUUUGCCUGUAAUUUUUAUUUUCCUGCCAGAUCCCCCAGUCUCACAUACAUGCCCCAAACCCUUGAGUCUGUAGUUUGUCUACCCUGAGUCCUUGUCAGAGCCUCUGGCUUCCGACAAUUCUCCUUUUUUGAGACAACACUGUACAGCAUUUAUUACUUCCAGACAUUGUAUAUAUAUUUAUUUGUGGGACUGUCUCCUCUCACUAAAAUGUGCUCCCUAAAAUGAGGUAGUGCCUCCUUAGGACAAGGACUUUCUUUUGUUCACUGAUGGAUUCCUCUCCAGCACCUAUAAUGCUGUCUACGUCACAGUAAACACUCAAAAAAAAUGUUUGUGGAAUGAAUGAGUGAAUGAAUAAAUAAAAUCUACUUUCCUCUGCACUGGCUCUGGAGAGGAGAAACGAGUGUGCCCUUGGCUAGAUGGGGAGGGAACAGACUGGCACUUUCUUUCUUCUUGGCUCUCAAUCUCUCCCUAGCUCCCACUUCCCCCACCCCUCAACUCCAGUUACUGUCUCCUCGCUUCCUGUCCUUCUCCUCAAGAUAAUCUGCUUCCUCACCGUCACAACAGAGGAUGAAUAACUGAUAGCCAUUUCAAAGUAACACCUUCCAGGGGACACUGUGGAAAAACUCUAAGCCUUAAGUCAAAAAGAUGAGUCCCUAAUGGGAGAAUGGUAGAUACUGACCAAUGGAAGGGUGAUGGGGUCAGUGGUAUUGGGCCUUUUUGGAGCCCAUUAUAAUGCAGCACGUUCACGGGCUUGGAAUGCUACUGGCCACUGAAACAGAAUUCCUGAGAACCUUUGCCACCGAGCACAGAAUGGUGGCCAGAGAGCAGCCAAAUCUCACCAUCAAAUAGAUGGUUUAAAAGAAUUUGAGAAAAACAGGUCACUUGUAUGGUGAUGUUCCCAGCGUAAAUUAGCAAAAUCUUUUAAAAGGCAAUUUGACAAUCCAGAGUGAGAGCCAAAAAAUACUUAAACCAUUUGAUCCAGACAUCUUACUCUUGUGAAUUUAUUCUAAGAAAAUAAUCAAGACUAAGAGAAAAGCUUUAUGUAAGAAAAGUACAUUGUCAUAGUAUUUCUAGUAGUUGAAAUUUAGAAAAAAAAGAUGAAUAACAAUGAGAAAAAAUGGGUAAAUUAGACAACAAUGACAGGUCUGCGUUGCAUUGCAUCUGGUCUAUUUACUAGCUGUGAGAACUUGGGUAAAUUAUUUAACAUUGCCAAGCUUCACUUUCCUUGUCUAUAAAAUUCCUUCUCUGUAAUAACAGUGCCUAAUUCAUGGAGCUGUAAGGAUUAAAUGAGAUCACUGCCGAUGAAGUGUGUACCAGGCACAGAGUUAUCGCUUGUUAUUAUUUCAAUAGGUGGCAUUAUAUCUUUGUGGAAUGAAUUAGUGGACUCAAACACCUAAGUCUCCCAACAGUCUA